rnacentral:tRNA from 1 species
CGCGGAGUGGAGCAGCUCGGUAGCUCGUCGGGCUCAUAACCCGAAGGUCACAGGUUCAAAUCCUGUCUCCGCAA